rnacentral:piRNA from 1 species
UGGAUCUUUUCGAGGCAAGUUUAGA